CAGGAAGCUCCCAGCAGCCGGGCGGGCUUGGCGGUGGAACUGUUGCUUGUUAUUAAAGCAACAGCAUAAUCCGGCAGUUCGCAGUACCCGCUCUCAUCCUCUCCAACUCCUCUCUGCUUUAAGACUUCCAGGAUUUCACCAGAAGAUCUUCACAGCAAUGUGGCAUUAAGAAAAAAUUUCCACUUGCGGAAACCCAGGGAACAUUUCAACACUACCCCUUGUGUUACCAGUGCAAUGGAAAGAGUUAUUUUCCGAGCUACAUGAUGACUGAAGUUGGAGGGGACAUCAUCAAUUUGUUUAGGGGCAGCAGUGCAGUUAUAUAUACCGGGAGGACUGGAAGACAAUAAGGCUAAUUAGCAGCUUAUGGCCCUAAGCCUGCAAACACUAUGAGGAUCAUUGUGAGUUGUGACUCAGGACCAUGACAGCGGAGGCCAGCCUGCCCACAUUCCAUGACUAAAUCCCCCAGCACAAAAGGGAAUGUAUCUACAGUGACUCAGCUAAGGAGAGCAAACUUUAUAAUGCUGCAGAGCGGCAGCCGGGCUUUGAACUGUCGUAUUUAUAUUUUUCCACCAACAAUCCAGGGUCUAGUUUGUAAUUAAAUAAAAAAAAAGUCUCUGCCAAGCAGUGUAUGACCUAAUCAUUUGUAAAGUACCUAUUUUUAGAAUUACCCUUU